rnacentral:rRNA from 1 species
UACAGAGGGUGCGAGCGUUAAUCGGAAUUACUGGGCGUAAAGCGCACGUAGGCGGCUUGGUAUGUCGGGUGUGAAAUCCCCGGGCUCAACCUGGGAACUGCAUCCGAAACUGCCUUGCUAGAGUAUGGGAGAGGGAAGUGGAAUUUCCGGUGUAGCGGUGAAAUGCGUAGAUAUCGGAAGGAACAUCAGUGGCGAAGGCGACUUCCUGGACCAAUACUGACGCUCAGGUGCGAAAAGCGUGGGGAGCAAACAGGG